rnacentral:snoRNA from 1 species
GGAUCGAUGAUGACUCCCACAAAUGCAUUCCUGGAAAUCUGAAACAAAAUGAGUGAGCCAUCACUACCGUCUCCUCAUCGGAACUGAGGUCC